ensembl:lncRNA
AGUGGUCUCCAGAACUGGCAUCAAUCAGUAGAAUACCCCUGACUAAUCCACCAGUCAUACAGUCAUCAAAACUCAAGUUUGCCCCCGACUGGUGCUUCGGCCUCAUCAAGCGGAGCUUCAGAAAGACCAGAGUGAACACUUUGUCUGAGAUUGCUGGUGUUGUGAAGGACAGCACUGUGACGGGUCAACAUCCCAUAGCUGGUUGGACUGGAGGAUGGUACGGUGCUGGUGGAAAGCUAUGGCUGGCAACAACACCUGACUCUACUUCAGGCUGCUGCCACAGGUCAAGCAGUUCCAGCACUUCAGCUUUGAUGCUCUGGUGCCUGGUGUUGUCGCCAAGGAGCUUUCGGAAUGUCGGGACCAUGCUUCUGCGCAUCCUUCAUCCCAUAGAUAGUCUGCCUGUAAAAUCACCACCUGGACUGGACACAGCUAGACAAAUGUAUAUUUUUUACAAGAUCAGGGAGUUUUGCGACGAAGAAGCUAUGGACAUCACAUGCCCUGCACCAAAGUCAAGGGCAAGACAGAAACAGGCUCUACAAAAUAUUGAUUCCCUUGUUCAUGCGUGGUUUAAACGGACCAGUCAUCAGCACUAACUGCAGUGCCUCUAUUCACAUGACUCUCUCCUAACACACAAGGCAUACGUUGCUGCUACAAUUAAAUGUUUUUAUCCUGCUGCUCACCCACUUUACCCCUGAUUGUAUACAUAUAACUACCUCAUCAAUCACUGACAGUUAGUGUUAAUAUAAAUGUCUUUCUGAUAUUGCUACUAUGCAAGUAACCAUUUGGCUGUACCGUUUACACCUUCUGUAGAGACCACCCACUUAGCAAAAUAUUGGUAUGUGUGGUCGUAACAUACCACAACAAUAGUGUGACCGUAUUAAGUGUCCAUUACAGAAAUAUAUGGCGCAUGCAUCUGUUCAUGUACUGUACAUGUGUACCUCACUCAGGCUGCAUGGCCUUAACUUAUGUAUGGAAUACUGUGAUAAGUGCAUGUGUAACAGUUUAUAAAGUGUGAAAGCAUUUGGGCAGUGGUGUGAAGUAUUUUUUUGUGGUAUCUGAACACUACUUUAAUUUUUUCUAUAUUUUUUGGGCUACUUUUACUUCACUUGUUAAGAAUUUUUUUUUUACUUAAUACAUUUACCUUGACACCCGAAAGUACUUGUUACAUUUUGACAGAAAUUGUCCAAUUCACCCACUUAUCAAGAGAACAUCCCUACUGCCUCUGAUCUGGCCUGCUCACUAAACACAAAUGAUUCAUUUGUAAAUUAUGUCUGUGUUAACGAGAGCCAGGGGCACACUACAAUAAAUAAAAAAAUGUGCCGUCUGGUUUAAUAUAAGGAAUUUGAAGUGAUUUAUGAUUUUACUCUGACAGUUUAGUAUUUUUUUCCACCACUGAAUGUGGCUGGGGGUUAUAGCAUUUAUUUCACAUAACCCAUCAAUUUAUACAAGUGUGUCUGGGUAAGUGUCUGAACUGGUCAGUCACAUUUUGGAACAGUGAGUGCAUUGAAAAGGUGAAGAUAUUGUAGAACUAGGUGGGGUUUAGCUGAAACUAUUACUUUGUGGCUGUGGUAACUAGUGACUACCCUCACCCCUUCUAUCUUAAUAAGGGCGUGUAUAUUUGAUGUAGGUUGGGUUGUCGAGUUUGUAUUCAUCCUCCUGCUUGCUAGCGGACAUAAGUCCCCUCGUGGGAGAGAGAAAUCCAAAAGGAUAAGUAAUAACACUUCCAACUGUAAAACAUUUAUUCACCAAAUUAUGUUAAUGUUCAAAUUAUUUCAUAAUUCCAAUGUUGAGUCACUGGAAUUAUUUCAUAAUUCCAAUGUUGAGUCACUGGUGUUUAUCAGCCUGUUGCCAAGCUAGCUAACACAAGAUCCACGUUGGGGACGAUGAAAUAACGGUAGCCCAUUUUUAAUGACUGAAGCAAAGUGGGUGAUGGGACUGUUGGGCGACGCGAGCGGUGAAAAUGGGAGAGGGACAUAAACAGGGCGGGGCCAUAGUUGGGGGAAAGCUGAAAUUUAUGCAAAUACUCCAACAUCCUUUUGCCAUUGACCAAUUUAGUUUCCAAUAGUUUCCAGACCCUACUGGAUUGGAUUAUACCUAGCCUGCUUGCUAGCACCAACAUGAGGGCGAAGCAACUGUGGCCAUCUGAAUUUACGCAUUAAAAAGAAUCUCGGACAUGUCAGACGUGAAAGCUAUGAUGAACAACUAAACUAACUAAUCAAAUUUAAUCAAAUGUAUUUAUAAAGCCCUUCUUACAUCCGCUGAUAUCACAAAGUGCUGUACAGAAACCCAGCCUAAAACCCCAAACUGCAAGCAAUAUAGAACCAAUGCCGGUGUAGAAGCACGGUGGCUAGGAAAAACUCCCUAGAAAGGCCAAAAACCUAGGAAGAAACCUAGAGAGGAACCAGGCUAUGAGGGGUGGCCAGUCCUCUUCUGGCUGUGCCGGGUGGAGAUUAUAACAGAACAUGGCCAAGAUGUUCAAAUGUUCAUAGAUGACCAGCAGGGUAAAAUAAUAAUAAUCACAGUGGCUGGCGAGGGUGCAACAAGUCAGCACCUCAGGAGUAAAUGUCAGUUGGCUCUUCAUAGCCGAUCAUUGAGUAUCUCUACCACUCCUGCUGUCUCUAGAGAGUUGUAAACAGCAGGUCUGGGACAGGUAGGACAUCCGGUGAACAGGUCAGGGUUCCAUAGCCGCAGGCAGAACAGUUGAAACUGGAGCAGCAGCACGGCCAGGUGGACUGGGGACAGCAAGGAGUCAUCAGGCCAGGUAAUCCUGAGGCAUGGUCCUAGGGCUCAGUUUUUACGAGAGAAAGAGGGAGAGUAUACUUAAAUUCACACAGGACACGGGAUAAGACAGGAGAAUUACUCCAGAUAUAACAGACUGACCCUAGCCCCCCGACACAAACUACUGCAGGAUAAAUACUGGAGGCUGAGACAGGAGGGGUCGGGAGACACUGUGGCCCCAUCCGACGAUACCCCCGGCCAGGGCCAAACAGGCAGGAUAUAACCCCACCCACUUUGCUAAAGCACAGCCCCCACACCACUAGAGAGAGAACUUCAACCACCAACUUACCAUCCUGAGACAAGGCCGAGUAUAGCCCACAAAGAUCUCCGCCACGGCACAACCCAAGGGGGGACGCCAACCCGGACAGGAAGAUCACCAGUAAGCCAGUGACUCAGCCCCUGUAAUAGGGGUGGAGAGAGGGGGACCGGCAAAGCAGAGACGGCAAGGGCGGUUCCUUGCUCCAGUGCCUUUCCGUUCACCUUCACACUUCUGGGCCUCAAUCACAGGACCUACUGAAGGGAUUAGUCUUCAAUAAAGACUUGAGACUGAGUCUGCGUCUCUCACAUGAGUAGGCAGACCAUUCCAUAAAAAUUGAGCUCUAUAGGAGAAAGCCCUGCCUCCAGCUGUUUGCUUAGAAAUUCGAGGGACAGUAAGGCCUCUUGUGACCGUAGCAUACAUGUAGGUAUGUAUGGCAGGACCAAAUCGGAAAGAUAGGUAGGAGCAAGCCCAUGUAAUGCUUUGUAGGUUAGCAGUAAAACCUUGAAAUCAGCCCUUGCCUUAACAGGAAGCCAGUGAACCUUUUUGGUUCUAGUCAAGAUUCUAGCAGCCGUGUUUAGCACUAACUGAAGUUUAUUUAGUGAUUUAUCCGGAUAGCCGGAAAGUAGAGCAGUGCAGUAGUCUAACCUAGAAGUGACAAAAGCAUGGAUAAGUUUUUCUGCGUCAUUUUUGGACA